rnacentral:lncRNA from 1 species
CAUCUGGAAUCCCUUGCAUUUUUCUGUUUGAGCAGCUGUGGUACUGAUCAAAUAAUAAGCAAUUGCUACUGCUCCCAGUGUUUAUGGAACAGAAAGGAAGCCUUUUCGACAAAGCCCGACGUGCAUCCGUCACACUAAGAAGCUCAAAAUGGGACCUUUAUCAACUGAUGCAAGGAGAAAUAUUUAUACUCCAAUGAUGUGCCAAUGAUGCAGCAGAUGUGGGAUGUGCAGGUGAACAGGUAGAUGCUGCUAGGCCACAUGAAAAUAAGUAGCUACUGUAACUGCAAAAGAGCCCCCCUGUUUCACCUCCCUUGUGUUCCAUAAGCAACAGUACAAACACUGGUCCAGGCUAAAGAAAGAU